rnacentral:tRNA from 1 species
GUUAAUGUAGCUUAACCACCAAAGCGAGGCACUGAAGAUGCCUAGAUGAGACCAUAAAACUCCAUAAACA